UACGGAGGGGGCUAGCGUUGUUCGGAAUUACUGGGCGUAAAGCGCACGUAGGCGGCUUUGCAAGUUAGAGGUGAAAGCCCGGGGCUCAACUCCGGAAUUGCCUUUAAAACUGCAUCGCUAGAAUUGUGGAGAGGUGAGUGGAAUUCCGAGUGUAGAGGUGAAAUUCGUAGAUAUUCGGAAGAACACCAGUGGCGAAGGCGACUUACUGGACACAUAUUGACGCUGAGGUGCGAAAGCGUGGGGAGCAAACAGG
rnacentral:rRNA from 1 species